UACGGAGGAUCCGAGCGUUAUCCGGAUUUAUUGGGUUUAAAGGGUGCGUAGGCGGCCUGUUAAGUCAGGGGUGAAAGACGGUAGCUCAACUAUCGCAGUGCCUUGAUACUGAUGGGCUUGAAUGAUACUAGAGGUAGGCGGAAAUGUGACAAGUAGCGGUGAAAUGCAUAGAUAUGAUCACAGAACACCAAUUGCGAAGGCAGCUUACUAGUGGUAAUA
rnacentral:rRNA from 1 species